rnacentral:lncRNA from 1 species
CCGGCCAAAGGAAAACCAACGGAAGAAAAAAGGAAGAAAAGAAGAACAAAAACCCUAAGUGGAAAAAUUCAAUGGAAAAGUGUGAAAAUUCAAGGAAACAAGUGACAAAAGGUAAGAUUUUUCGAUUCUAGCUUGUGAUCUACCUUUCCCAUGCAUCCUUUUUCAUUUUCCAUGGUUGAGAAUCAAGUUUUCAUGAUGAAUCCCUUGCUGGCCGAACACCUAAGAGAGAGAAUUUGAUGAUGAUUUGGUUAGAUUUUAAAGUAUUUUGGUGUUUUUAGUUAGUUAGUGAUGUGNAAUAAAUAUUAAUAUUUAAAUUAAAUACAUAAUAAUAUUUAAAUUAAAUAAAUGUUAAUAUUUAAAUGAUUAAUUAUUAAUAUUUUAAUUAAAUUCUAGAUUAUUAAUAUUUAAAAAAUCUAAUAAAAAUAAAAUGUCAUAUAAAUAAUAAAGGGUAUUUUUGUCUUUUUAUUUUCUAUUCCUUUCUUAUUCCAAAAUUAUUGUUACCAACCAAACACUACAAUAAGUCAUAAUAAUUAUUCUUGUCCUAUUCUCUUUGUCAUACCAAACUAAAUAAUAACUAUUCUAUUCUAUUUUCACCUCAUUCUAUUCCCACAUAAUAACUAUUCUAUUGCAUUCCUGUCUAUUCUGCCAACUAAACGUACCAUAAUUAUCUAAAGUACGUUUUAUUCGAUUUUGUAAAUUUUAUAGAAAAUGAAUUAAAUGAUUAAUUUUUUUGUUUUAUAAACAAAAUGUGAUUUAAUGAAAAUGAUUUUAUAAACAAAAUGAAAAUUGUCUUGACAAUAGAGUAACUAGAGACCACUUGAGGUGUUGUAAAUUUAUGAUUUGAAUUGAUGGCUUAUGUUAAUGUGUUGGCAUGACUGGCUGAGUUGUGUUUUUGUUAACUGUAUGAAUUGCUCUAUUUUACAUUUACAAGCUGGAUAGUAUUAUAUUAGUCAUGUCAUGCUAUCAAAAUUUUAUUGUAUAGUGGGUUUAGCUUGCUGCAAUAGGCGAAUUCUGUGGACCAGCCUAUUAGAGGGGCACGGAAUCCCGUUAUAUUUUACCUCAGUUGGAGAGGCGAGUAGGGUAACUCCCGAGGUAUAACUUUAGAGUUUACUUCACGUCAAACCACCUCGUGCUGAUGAACUCAGCUAACGCCAAGGAACGGCUAUGUUUUUAAAAUAAAAACAUGAAUUAUGUGUACAUAACUUUUUAACAGCCUUGACGGACUCGGUUGGAAUAACCCUCGAUCAAGGUAUCCCUGAUAACUGGGUAUGAGAAUGAUUUUGGCACGAGCCAAAGUUUUAAGAAAUUCAUAAGCCAUGUUGAUUACUCGAUUUAUAUGAAUUGAUUUUAUUUGGUUGCAAUGCGUUGAAAGGUGAUAAAUUACAGUAUGAUGAUUUAUUUUAUCUGUCUCCAUUUACUCCACUUUAGAUAUUUUAGAUGGUAUUUGUUUACUCACUGGGAUUAUAUAAUCUCAUCACCCUCAUUUCCACCCAUUUCAGGCUUAGGAUAGUCUAUAGAUAGCUGAUUUCAUCGAGGACUACCAUUGGAUUUGCAUCCUCCAAACUGUAGGUUCACAGUUUUUCUUACUUUUGGUUAUUCGAGGGCCCACUUGUUACUGUAAAUUAAAUUAAAUACUCUGGCUUACUGUAUUACAGUAUAUAUGAAUUUAUUUUGUUUUUAAGCUACAAAAAUUUAUUUAUGCAAUGUUCUAAAAAUAUUGUUUUAUGAGAAAAUUGAAUAUUUUAUUCUAAUAGUCAUAAUUUCAUUUUAAAUGAAUGUUUUAGACAUCCAAAUUUAUUUUUGAUUAUGAAUUAUGUGUUUUGUACUCGCCUACUACAUUUUUAGCUGGUUUUGAGAUUUUUGAGAAAAACUUACCAAAAUGCCCCUGUGAGAAAAAAAUUAUUUUUCUUUUGUUUUGAUUUGGAAAUAGUUUAUAAUCUCUCAAAACGUGAUACUUAACAACUGUUGCUCACAGGGUAGUUGCGAAAACUGAUAUCAAAGCCUUGUGAGGUUUCGAUUGACAUUCCGGGCAGUGAAUGUCUAUCGGAGCGUCGCGACGAUUGUCACAGGCUCGAGGGGAGUAUCGGAUCGUGACAAAUGAUGUAUGUACUUUGCUGAUCCCUAAAGACGUAAGCCUUAUACAUUGGGCUUACCUUCAUUCCAUAACUCAUAUUGAGUUGUGGAAACAAAUUUUAAAGGCACAUAGUUGAGGAUGUAUGCCGCGGUCAAAAAGGCAUCCGCCCAAAAACUUAUUGGAAGGUUGGUUUGUGCCAUUAUUGACCUAACCAUGUCUAACAAAGUACGAUUCCUUCUUUUUGCAACAUUGUUUUGUUGCGGAGUUCUAAGUAUCGUUAAUUGUCAACAAAUUCCUUUUUCCUCAUAUAAUUCUUUGAACUUAUCAAAUUGGUAUUCAUGACCUCUAUCAGUGUAAAAAACCUUAAUUUUCCUUUCUUUAUGAUUCUCAACCUCUAUCAUAAAGCAUUUGAAACAAUACAAAGCUUCAGAACAGUGAGACAAUAGAAAUAUGGAUCCAUAUUGUGAGUAAUCAUUUAUGAAUGUAUUGAAAUAGGAUGGGCCAUUACAUGCCUUUACAUUCAUAGGCCCACAAAUGUCCGAAUGGACAAGUUCUAGAAGAUAGGUGGCCCUUUUAGCCUUCCCAAAAAGUUUUCAGCUAGAAUUACCAACAAGACAUGGCUCACAUGUAGCAAGUUUAACUUCAACGAGUGAGCCCGAUAACCUUUCUCUAGCCAAUUUGGACAUUCUAUUUUGCCUAAUAUGUCCUAAUCUAGCAUGCCAUUUCACAGAAUCAUUUAUAACAUCAGAAGAAGAAUUUGAAACAAAAGUAACAUCAUUACUAGAAUCCAAAUCUAACAUAAUCAAACUGUCUUUAUAAUAACCAUGACCCAAAAAUGUGUUUUGAAGAAAAAUAGACAACUAUAAUUCUCGAACGUAAAAUUAAAUCCUAAACCCAUCAAUGCUAAAAUUGAAAGUAAAUUACAUCGUACAAACAAAGUAUGAAGCACAUCAUGUAUGAGCCAUUUUCGCCCAUUGUGCAUUGUGAGUUGCUAAGUUCCUACUCCUAGCACUUCUUUCUGUUCUCCAUUCCCAAAAUUAAAGCAUUUUAACUUAGACUUAUCCUUCUUCCCACCAUGCUUUCUUCUUUGGCGCUUAGUGACUCUAUCAAUUUUAGGCUUUAGGCUUCCAAUCUUUCCCUUCUUUUGUUGUCUCUUUCGCUGAGGAACAUACCUUUUGUGAUUUCUAGCUUGAGCUAUCAAGGCAAUGUUAUGGAUAGCUUCUCUACACUCUGCCUUAAGCUCUAGAUGGUGGGAAAUGUCAUCAAAAGUCUUUAUCCUUUCAUUGUGUAUUAAUAUAAGUUUAACAUUUCCCAUGAGGACUUAGGGAGUUGACUUGAUGACAGCUAAGACCUACUGCUCAUCUGCAUAGCUAGUUUCUUUCAUCUCUCUUAUCAUGGCUGACAUAGCCCUUAAGUGUUCAGCCAUAGUGUGCUUGAAGUCCAUCACAUAUUGAUUGAACUUAAGCAUCAAGGCAAGAAGCCUCGUAGUUAAGGUUCCACAUACUUGAAUUUCAGUUGUGUUGACUCCUUUAGUUUUUUAUGAUAACAAAACUUUCCCAUUCAUUAAUGUCUAAUCAUAUUACUUGAGUGUGUAGGAUAAAAAUCUAAGUCACUUAAUAGAAUGAUCAUUCAAAAGCAACAAUCAAAACUCACCAAGAUAAAGGAUCACACAAUAAGUCAAAAACAGAAGGCUUUUAAUUGAUUAGCCAAGGGAGUUAAUCAGCUAAUACUUAAAAAUAAAGUCUUAAAGGAAGUUCGACAAGUUGGAUUUUCUGAACAACAGUUGAAGAAGACUUGGUUGGCCAAACAAAUCUAAUGACUACUUAAGAUUGAAGGAAGAUUAGCCUAAAUCAAUUAAAAGGAGGAUUAAUUAAACAAAGAAAGGUUGGUGAUGUUUGUUGUUUGAAAAUAGCAAGUUCUUAAUCAAUUAAAGCCAUUUUUAACCAAUUAACAUAGUGAAACAGACUAUAAAAUAGAGAAGACUUAGUCCACUAAAGUCGAUAAUGAACUAGUUAAAUACUCAUUGUCAAAAAAUUUGAAUUUGAAUACUUGAAGACAAAAUAACAGCUAGACUGGUUCUUGAACUGUUUUUAAUGGUCAAAAGUUAUCCAAGUUCAUUAGAGUUGAUUUUUCAAGUAUAAAAGACAUCCCUAAUGGUUAAAAAGAGUAAGAGAUGUAUCUAAGAGCUUCAAAGAAAAGAGAAGAGCAAAAGUCCUCUUUCAUUUCUAUUCCACUCAAAUCUUUGUAAUUAAGUUCUACACCUCAUCUUGUACCAUUUAAAUCAACAUAGUGAUCAUAGGUACAUCCUCAUAUUUGUAUUUCUUACUUACUUAGAGUGUGUGAGGCACUCUGAGGGGUUUAUCAAGCUCAAGUUAGCUUGGUUUGUUGUUGUAGGUUCUAACUUAGCCUUAAAAAAUUUUGUUUUGGGUUUUGGUUGAUCUAAAGGAAAACCAUUGUUAAAGGUUAUGGUUGAGCUUGUGAAAAGCCAUUGUAAAAGUUUAGUGGAAGCUUAGAAAUUCCAUUGAUUUUAGUGAAUUAGUUUGAAAUUGGAAGAUCAACGUAGUGGAUGUAGGUGUCACAUCCCAUUUCCUGAAGGGAUCGAGAUCGGCGUCUUGACCUAAACGAGCAUAACCCAUUAGGCCUAAGCAAGCCUCUUAUCAUAACAUCAUCAAACAUUCCUCAUCACAUGCGAAAGCAUCAUAUAAUGUCCAUUAAUGUAUGUAUUCAUAAUACAUACAUUCGUAAAACUCAUUAUAUAAUUAAGGAACUUCUCAACUUAAAUGUAUAAGGUCAAGCAUUUGGUAUACAUACAUACAUAUAGAUAAAUGGAAAAGUGUCAUUAUCAUAGUGUACAUUAACAUUAGCUGUCAACAAUAGCCUUGGGUGUCCAUGUAGGCUCUUGAGCCAUCAUCAUGAUCUCAUACAUAACAUUAUCAAUAUAAAAUGUCCAUCAUUAACAACAUUAGCAUAAAAAUGUUCAUAGUCAAUAAUCAUAAACAUAAAGUAAAAGAUCGACUCAUCAGCGAAACGUGAUCGACCCUCGAGGCAUCAAGUGGCUACUAGACACCUACCAAAUAACGAAGACUGGACACUAGUAUCCGUAAUACUGGCUUCUAUUAGACGCUAUCACUGAUCUUUAAAAAAACAAAUGGGAAAAAUAACUUGUGAGUCACAAAGACUCCAAGAGUGGAUACAGGAAGGGAACAAGCCAGGGGAUAAGAGUAUUUCAUAAAUAUGCACUUAAAAUCUCAUGUUUUUCAUAAACAAUUUAAUCAUAGAAUUCAUAAAACAUGUUAUUUGAACAUGUUUGAAUAGUAUUUGUAUGAAAACAUUUCAAUAUAGACCUUUAGGAAUCCUUUACCUUUGAAAUUCUCAUCAAAUUCAAUCAAACAACCUAUUAUACACCGAAACUAUCAAUACAUUCUUGAAUGUAUCGAUACUUUCAUACAUCUAUCGAUACAUUGGUAAAAUGUAUCGAUACAUUUCACACAAAAAGCCUCCUAAAGCAUUCUAUAUAGAAUGUAUCGAUACUUUUAGCCUAGAACUCAAAUUUCUGGGCAAAAUCCUCCAUUUUUACCAUUCCUUAAGUUCCUCUACCUCUUAGGACUUUCUCUAAGGCUCAAUCUUCUUCACAAAGCACAUUUUCAUGUCAUCAUAAAAUACAUAUCUGAACAAUGCUCAAACAACAUUAGUAUGCAACAUGCCAUAAACAUAAUAAUUAUUAUCAUUCCACUAACAUUAAACUCAUACUUUGUGGUGGUAUGCCCCCCAUCAGACUUGAGUGGCAAUGUACAAUCCCAUUGCACCUUAGACAUUUAUGAUGCAUCAUAGGAGUGAAGUUUUCACUUGCACCUCAUGAGAGUGGAAUCAAUCACACUCAUAGAGUUUUUACACUCGUAGCAUUAGGUAUGUGGAAUGUCCUUCACAUAUAAGCUUACUCAUCUCAUAAGGUACAUGGAAAAUACAUCAUAUACAUAAUCUCAUGGCAUUCAUCAUGCUUUCUCAGUAAUCUUAUGGAGUGUAUGGAAUAUACAUCAUAUACAUAAUCUCAUGGUAUUUAUCACACAUACUUAAUCACCUCAUAUGGUAUAUGGAAUUACAUCAUAUACACAAUCUUAUAGCAUACAUCAUGCAUACUUAAUUAUCUCAUAAUGGUAUAUGGAAUUUAUAUCAUGCACAGAAUCUUAUGGCAUUCAUCAUACUAAACAUGCACAUUAUAGCAUCUAUAAAUAAACAUACAAUAUCUCAUACCCAUGCUAGUCUGAAGAUUGGAGUAAUCGAGUGGACUUCAAAUAUAAGGUGCUUGUCCCUCCUUAUUGAAAACUAACACAUAGAUAUUUACAUACAUAGCAGAUUCAUAAACAAUUUGUAAACCAUUGUAUCAAUCAUAUCACAAUCACUAAGAAUUUAUUUUUUACUUAGAAAAUCAUUUCUUUCAUUCUUGAAACUCAAAUCCUUUGAUAAACCAUUUUAGAGAUAUCAUUUCAACAUAUAUACAUAAUCCUUUUCAUAGAAAUCAUGUUUCCUUUACAUAUCAAAAUAAUUUGAAAGUAGUGUAUCCAUUCACCUAGUUGGAGAUUCGAUUCCUAACUCCGAUCACAACUCUAUUUUGAUGAAAUCCAUGGAGUUUUCAAGUGUUCUUAUCAUACAACAAUCAUCACAACCAUUUCUUACAUUAAAAAUCCUGUAAUAAUCAUUCUAGGUACUAUCGAAACUACUUACUUUAGCUAAGCUAAUGUUUUAACUAAAACCCACACUUAGAAACCCAUAAAUAUUUCAUCCUUACCUUAGGUGAGCUUUGAUGUUAGGGAAAAUCACAAAGUCUUUGAGCUUUAAUGUUCAACAGAAAAUCUGGGCAUAAAAAUAAUAUUUUUAGUGCUGAAAAAUUCAUAAAUCAAUAUUUAAAAGUUGAAAGAUGUCACUUUUGUUAAGAAAACCCAAAACCAAGCUUCUAAUUUUCCAAAAUGAUGAUUUAGGGUGAUAAUGGGUUUAAGAAAGCUCAGAGUUGUUGAAAAAUUGAUGAGAGACAGCUUAAAAUGAAAAACCAUCGAAGUUGGGGUCAUAUUUAUACUAUGGGAUGUGAAAAUACCCUUUGACCCUUUUUAUUUUUUCAAAAAUCGACAAAAUGUAUAGAUAUAUUGGGGAAAAUGUAUCGAUACAUUAUGAACAUGUAUUGAUACAUGUUCAUUAGAAACCCUUUUGGGCUAAAUGUAUUGAUACAUCAUGAACAUGUAUUGAUAUAUUUGAGAUAAAUUACAAUUUCUGAGGCAGAUUGCUUAUAAAAACUUGCACAGCUUAUUUACAUUAAAUACUAUUUAAUUAAAUGUCCUCUUUACUUUUUACUCUCCAUUUACUUAAGAUAUUUAAUGUAAAUAAGAAAACAACACCCCAUUUGGAUUCAAUAAAACUAUCAAAAAAAUCAAAAUCCAAAAUAAUCAAAAUCCAAUUUUUCAUUUCAAGAACAAAAUUGAAAAAAUUUGAUUGAAAUUAAAUUUGUGACUUCCAUAUACCAUAGCAAACGUAUUCCAAAUAUUAUGGAAAAAUCAUUUUCGAUCAUCUAAAAUUCAAGGGAAUCAUUACUGCCAUUUUUUAUCUCUAGAAGAUUGUUCUGUAAAAAUCACAUAUUUUGACCCUCCAAACUUAGAAAAUUUUUUACUUCAAAAGUGAUAGAUAACCAAAAGUGUCAAUGAAUUCUUUUGAAAGUUAAAACUAUGCUUGAUGCUCAAAAUAUGUAAUCUAUAUACUCACCUUAGGAUUCCUAACUUAUCCUUUUACUAAAGGUGGGAUUUCACAAUAGGUCAAAGGGAUGGAACCACUAUAACUUGUUGAGCAUUACCCACUUUCUUUCAUGUCUUUGUUUUACUUAUUCCUAACUUGCUCCUCCAACAAGGUUCAAAUUUGUCUCAUGAACUUCCUUUCACAAGCUCUUAACGUGGAACCAAUUUUAGUGACAUUCGAAAAGUGCUAUUCACCCCCUCUCUUGCUCACUUUUUGGGACCAAUAAGUGGUAUUAGAGCUUAACCCUCCUUGAUUAAGGCUUAACAUCCUUUGGGGAUAUCCAAAUGGCCCUACAAAAAUCUUUAGUUGUUAAGGGACAAUCGACAAAUAGACUACCUCUGUUUGAUGGAUCAAACUAUCCUUAUUGGAGCACUAGAAUGUCUAUUUACAUAAGAGCUAUUGAUUAUAAAAUGUGGGAUGCAAUCAUUGAUGGACCUUAUAUUACAAAUAUUGUGACUAGUGAAAGAAUUCCUAAGGUAAGAGUUGAAUGGACUGAAGUUGAAACAAUAAAGGUCCAAACAAAUUUCAAGGCUAUCAAUACUCUACAUUGUGCCUUGACUCCCAUUGAAUUUAAUAAAGUGUUAAGUUGUACCAUUGCCAAACAAGUUUGGGAUAAACUUAAAAUCAUUCAUGAAGGGACUUCACAAGUUAAGGAGUCCAAAAUAGCUCUUAUCACCCACAACUAUAAAAUGUUCAAAAUGGAGCUUGGUGAAGAUAUGACUAGUAUGUUUGAUAGAUUCACCAAUAUUACCAACAAGCUUAGUCAAUUAGGUAAGCCAAUACCUGAACCUAAACUUGUUAAAAGACUUCUUAGAAGUUUACUUAAGAGCUGGAAGCAAAAAGUUACUGCUAUUCGAGAGGCUAAGGACUUAAAUGUUAUCACUCUUGAUGAGAUUUAUGGCUCACUUUUCACUCAUGAGUUGGAGCUUUAAAAGAAGCAUGAAGAAGACAAGAGAGAAGCUAAAGAGAAAAAAAUAAAGCAUUGCCUUGAAAGUAAGCAACCUUGAAGAAAAGUGGGAAAAUCUAUCAUGUGACAACGAUGAAGAGUUGGCCAUGGUAGCUAGAAGAUUUAGAAAGCUAAUGGGACAAAGAGAUAGAAGACUUGCUAGGAGAAAUUAUUGAAGAGAUCAAUGUUUUUCAUGGAAAGUCAGAAACAAAAAUAAACCUAACAAGAAUGAUGAUUUAAUAUGUUUUGACUGCAAGAAACCUGGUCACUUUCGAUCGGAGUGCCCGCUGCUCAAGGAAAAAACUCUCAAGAAGAACAAAAAUUAAAAAACAGCUAUGGUGGCAGCAACCUAGUCUAAUAGUGACACAUCUAGUUCAAAGGUUGAUGAAAAGAAAGUGGAAAAAAGGGCAAACCUUUACUUAAUGGCCAAAGAUGAUGAAUCUGUGGUAUCUUCUAAUCUUUGUGAUAUUUCAAUUGAUGAAUUCCAAGAAAAAUAUGAACGCUUAUAUGCUGAAUUUGAAAAGCUUGCUUUGAAAUAUAAGGUUUUAAAUAAAAGGACUACAUCUCUUAAGGAUGAAUUAGAAAAGUUAAGACAUGACUUUAACUCUAUUUUUGGAAAAAGAAAUAUUCUUCAAAUUGAACUUGAGCAUUCAAAAACAGAUGCUGAACUUUUGAAGUUAGAACUUGAAAACAGGAAUGAGGCCUUGCAAAAGGCAAUUGAUGAAAAUGUUGCUCUUAAAGUCAUAACAAAAAAGGCACUAAGAAGAAAUGUAAACUUUAAAAGUAAUACUCAAGGUCUCAUCUAGGUACUGUAUAUGUGACAAACAAGGUCAUCUCUCUUAUGAAUGCUAUCAUAAAAGAAAAGGUCAUCACAAAACAAAAAUGAUUUGGGUGCCAAAAGGCUCUCAUGUAUCAACUGACCUUCAAAGACCCAUCAAGGAAUGAGUACUAUAAAGAAAGAUUGAAAAUUUGUUUUGUAGGUUGAGCUAAACCAAGAGGACAAAUGUUUAAAGGCUUAAUAAAAGAAAAGCAACCGUGGUACAUGGAUAGUGGCUACUCAAGGCACAUGACAGGGAAUGAAAUGCUAUUUGCUUAACUUAACAAGAAAAAAGGUGGAACAAUAUCUUUCGAAGAUGACUCAAAAGGUAGAAUUCAUGGAGUAGGAACCAUUGGUAAAAACUCUAAAGCUCAAAUCAAUCAUGUUCUCUUUGUCAAAGGUUUAAAGCAUAAUCUAUUAAGUAUUUGUCAACUUUGUGACAAAGGUUUAAAGUAUGCUUUGAUUCAUAUAAACCUUAAAGGUAUAGAUAUUAGCACUAACAAAUUUGCAUUCACUGGAAAAAGAAUUAAAAACAAGUAUGUAAUUUUUCUUCAAGAUCUUGAACUAGAAUGUGAAAUGUGUCUCAUGGUAAAUGAUGAGAAUGACAGCUGGUUAUGGCAUCCAAGACUUAGACAUGCAAGUAUGCACACCAUUUCAAAAUUAAUAAGAAAAAAAUCUAGUUAUUAGACAUCCUAAGAUUAGUUUUGAAAAUGGUCAAAUUUGUGAUGCAUGUCAAUUUGGAAAACAAGUUUGAACUUCAUUCAAAGCCAAGAAGGUCAUAUCAACCUCUAGACCACUUUAAUUGUUGCAUGUAGACUUGUUUGGUCCAAUUAACAUGACUAGUUUAUGAGGCAAAUCAUAUGGUUUCAUUAUAGUUGAUCAUUAUUCUAGAUACACAUAUGUUUACUUCCUUGCUUACAAAAAUGAUGCAUUGCCUACAUUUAUAAAUCAUUGUAAAAAAGUUCAAAAUGAAAAAAGAAUCCUCAUUGUUAGCAUUAGAAGUGAUCAUGGUUGUGAGUUUAAAAAAGAUGAAUUUGAAAUCUUUUGCAAUAAAAAUGGCUUUGAUCACAACUUUUCUACACCUAGAACACCCUAACAAAAUGGAGUUAUUGAGUGAAAAAAUCAAACUUUAAAGGAAAUGGCAAAAACCAUGCUUUGUGAAAACAACUUGCCAAAGUAUUUUUGGGCAGAAGCUAUUAACACAACAACCUACAUUCUGAACAGAGUUUCAAUAAGAGCUAUGAUUUCUAAAACUCCUUAUGAAUUGUACAAAGGUAGAAAACCAAAUAUUUCUCACUUAAGAAGUUUUGGAAGCGAAUGUUUUGGAUUGAAUAAUGGAAAACACAAUCUUGGAAAGUUUGAUGCUAAGAGUGAUGAAUCCAUCCUUCUGGGAUAUGCAUUAAAUUCAAAAGCAUAUAGAGUAUUUAACAAAAUAACUUUAGUUAUUGAAGAAUCUAUUCAUUUUGUUUUUGAUGAAAUUAAUGCUAUGCAAAAGAAAGCUAUAGUUGAUGAUGACGAUGUAGAGGAUCUUGAAAAAUAAGAAAAAUAGUAAAGAAAACUCUCAGGAAAGAGCAGCAAAAGUUCCAUCUUUUGGAAAUCUACAAAGAGUUGAAAACCAACACAAUAAUCUUUUAAAAAGCUGGAAAUAUGUCAAAGAUCAUCCAUAAAAGCAGAUUGUUGGUGACUUUCAGAAGGUGUAAGAACAAAAAAAGGACUCAAAGAAACUUGUGAAUAGUUAGCCUUCAUCUCUUAAAUGGAGCCCAAAAAUUUAAAAAAAGCAAAAAAAGAGGAAAGUUGGAUGUUAGCAAUGUAAGAAGAGCUUGGACUGUCAAACCCUGUUCUAUAAAAUAAUUAUGACGUCAUUUACAUGCUCAAUAGAAUGUUUGCAUAUUUAAGAAGUUUGAGGAAUCGUUAAAAGACGAUAUUGCCCCUAAUGGAUUAAGUCGGUUAAUUCUCAAACUAAUUCAAACAAGAAUUUUAAGGUGAAAUUAAGAGUUUCACAGUUCAGGGAUGAUUCAAAAUGGUAAUUCGGAGUUCGAGGAUCAAUUUGGAGUCAAACCGAAAUUUUCACUAUCUAGGGGUAAAAUGGUCAUUUGCCACUUGAGGAUAAAAUGGGAAUUUUUAGAAAAGAUUUUUUGAUCCAUUUGACUUAUUGGAGUAUGAUUUGAGGUUUAGAAAUGAAAAAGUUUAAUUCCGGUGAUUUUUGGAGUGUAGGGGUAAAAUCGUAAUUUUUCCAAUCACGGACAAAAUUUGAGAUUUUGAGAGAAUUUAGAUCACAUUUGACAAAUUGGAGAAUGGUAUGAGUAUAAGGGAUGAAAAAUAUGUCUAUGGGUAAUUUUUCAAUUUUUGGGGUAAAAAUGUAAUUUUUUACUUUUACGAGGGUAAAGUUUAAAUUUCAAAAAUUACUUCACCAAGACUUUGGAUAAGUCUGAGAAUUUUAUCUAAGUUAUGGAUAUUUGAAGGAAUAAUGUGUGGUGGAGAUUUAAAGCUUAAAAGAUAAGAAUUUAAAAAAAUGGACCAAUAAUGUAGUGACAUAUGGCAAGUUUAGAUUAUUAUAUUAUUUAACUAUAAAAAUCAGCCCAUUUUCUUCAUAUGGCCGGCCAAGCAAGGAAGAGAGAGAAAGAGAGGAAGAACAAAGGGAAAACAAGAAAACCUAGGUGAAAAUUCAAAAAAAAAGUGAAGAAAUCAAGGAAACAAGCUAGGUAAGUUAGAAUUUCUUUAGUUCUCCUUGAUACCUAGCUUACCCAUGCUUUUGUUCUUGAUUUNNNNNNNNNNNNNNNNNNNNNNNNNNNNNNNNNNNNNNNNNNNNNNNNNNNNNNNNNNNNNNNNNNNNNNNNNNNNNNNNNNNNNNNNNNNNNNNNNNNNNNNNNNNNNNNNNNNNNNNNNNNNNNNNNNNNNNNNNNNNNNNNNNNNNNNNNNNNNNNNNNNNNNNNNNNNNNNNNNNNNNNNNNNNNNNNNNNNNNNNNNNNNNNNNNNNNNNNNNNNNNNNNNNNNNNNNNNNNNNNNNNNNNNNNNNNNNNNNNNNNNNNNNNNNNNNNNNNNNNNNNNNNNNNNNNNNNNNNNNNNNNNNNNNNNNNNNNNNNNNNNNNNNNNNNNNNNNNNNNNNNNNNNNNNNNNNNNNNNNNNNNNNNNNNNNNNNNNNNNNNNNNNNNNNNNNNNNNNNNNNNNNNNNNNNNNNNNNNNNNNNNNNNNNNNNNNNNNNNNNNNNNNNNNNNNNNNNNNNNNNNNNNNNNNNNNNNNNNNNNNNNNNNNNNNNNNNNNNNNNNNNNNNNNNNNNNNNNNNNNNNNNNNNNNNNNNNNNNNNNNNNNNNNNNNNNNNNNNNNNNNNNNNNNNNNNNNNNNNNNNNNNNNNNNNNNNNNAACUGUGAGUGGACAAUUUAUCGUCUUAAAUAUCUAGAGUAAUUAUACUUGUUUGAUGCUUUUAUUGAAUGGUGAAUUUAAAUUAUAAAAUAUUAUGUUUUCUAGUUAAAAUGUUUUUUAAUAAAAAUGAGAUUUAUAUUGGUUUUGAAAUCAAAUAUUGUUUUGGGAAAAUUGAGAAUAUGGAGACUGUGUUGAAAUUUAUGAUUUUAUAUGUUAUUGAAAUUUGGGCUUAUGACACUAUGGUAGCAUGAUGGCUAAAUUUUUGGGGUUGGCAUAAAAUAUAUGAACAGUUUUGGAUUGGUCUCGGUAGACUGGAUUAAAUUUUAUUCGCCAUAUUAUGCUACUGAAAAUUUUAUGGGUCUGGUGGUAUAUUAAACGGUCACUGCAGUGGUGGGGGUUUUCGUGGACUGCCUAUGAGAGGGGCACAGUAACCCAAUUAUAUAUUUACCUCUGGGGGGAGAUGUUGGAUGAAGUAUCUCCUGAGGUAAGAUUUGAAUGCACCUCACGGUCACUGCAGUGGUAGGGGUUUCCGUGGACUGCCUAUGAAAGGGGCACGGUAACUCAAUUAUAUAUUUACCUCCGGGGGGAGAUGUUGGGUGAAGUAUCUCCUGAGGUAUGAUUUGAGUGCACCUCACGUUUGGGCCACCACGUGAGAGUGAGACUCAGCCAACGCCAAGGAACGAUUGUGUGUUAGAUGUGAAAACAUGUUUAUGGGUAUGGGUCAUUGAACAGCCUUAGCGGUCUCAGUGGGAUACCUUGAUGAAGGCACCCGCGAGAAUGAUUCUGACAGGGGCCAAGUUUAAGAAAUUCAUAAGCCGAGAAAUUUUGAUGAAAAUAAAUUAUUUGGUAUAGAUUGAAACGAAUUUUGUGUUAUGAACAUUAUUGAGAUAUAACGUUUUUAUAUUGUCUCCAUCUACUCGGCUUUAGAUGCUUUUGAUGGUAAUUGUUUACUCACUGGGAUUAUUUAAUCUCACCCUUCUUCCUAUCCAUUUUUCAGGCUCAGGACAGUUUGUUGAUGGUUGAUUAAGACGAGAAUUAAUCUCGGAGUUGCAUCAUAGGAAGUAAGGGUUCGUAGCUCUACACUUUCUUGGUUAGUUGGGGGCCCACGUGUCACUGUAAACAAAAUUUCAUACUUUAAUUAUCUUUAUUACUAUAUGAAUAAAUUUAUUUUGCUCUUACGCUACAAAAGUUAUUUUAGG